rnacentral:rRNA from 1 species
GAUGAACGCUGGCGGCGUGCCUAAUACAUGCAAGUCGAGCGAACGGACGAGAAGCUUGCUUCUCUGAUGUUAGCGGCGGACGGGUGAGUAACACGUGGAUAACCUACCUAUAAGACUGGGAUAACUUCGGGAAACCGGAGCUAAUACCGGAUGAUAUUUUGAACCGCAUGGUUCAAAAGUGAAAGACGGUCUUGCUGUCACUUAUAGAUGGAUCCGCGCUGCAUUAGCUAGUUGGUAAGGUAACGGCUUACCAAGGCAACGAUGCAUAGCCGACCUGAGAGGGUGAUCGGCCAAACUGGAACUGAGACACGGUCCAGACUCCUACGGGAGGCAGCAGUAGGGAAUAUUCCGCAAUGGGCGAAAGCCUGACGGAGCAACGCCGCGUGAGUGAUGAAGGUCUUCGGAUCGUAAAACUCUGUUAUUAGGGAAGAACAUAUGUGUAAGUAACUGUGCACAUCUUGACGGUACCUAAUCAGAAAGCCACGGCUAACUACGUG